rnacentral:RNase_P_RNA from 1 species
CAAGUCGGCCGGAUGGUCGCGGCUUGACGUCGGUAACGACGUUGGGUCGAGGAAAGUCCGAACUCCAUAGGGCAGAGCGCUGGGUAAUACCCAGUCGGGGUGACCCGCAGGACAGUGCAACAGAAACAUACCGCCCCUCACGGGGUAAGGGUGAAAUGGUGAGGUAAGAGCUCACCGGCGAUCGGGUGACCGGUCGGCCGGGCAAACCCCGCUCGGAGCAAGGUCAAAUAGGAGGGAAUGAGGUGGCCCGCCUCGCUAUAACCCUCGGGUUGACCGCUAGAGGCAGCAGGUAACUGCUUGCCCCAGAUAGAUGACCAUCCGCCCUGCUUCAGGGUGACAGGAUUCGGCUUAUAGGCCGGCUUGAGCC